rnacentral:rRNA from 1 species
UAAUACGGAUGGUGCGAGCGUUGUUCGGAAUUACUGGGCGUAAAGGGCGCGUAGGCGGCCUACCAAGUCAGAUGUGAAAGCCCACGGCUCAACCGUGGACGUGCAUCUGAAACUGGCAGGCUUGAGUACUGGAGAGGAAAGUGGAAUUCCUGGUGUAGAGGUGAAAUUCGUAGAGAUCAGGAGGAAUACCGGUGGCGAAGGCGACUUUCUGGACAGAUACUGACGCUGAGGCGCGAAAGCGUGGGGAGCAAACAGGAUUAGAUACCCUGGUAGUCCACAGCUGUAAACGAUGUGCACUAGGUGUAGGGGGUCGUUGACCCUUUCUGUGCCGCAGCUAACGCAUUAAGUGCACCGCCUGGGGAGUACGGUCGCAAGAUUA